GACGAACGCUGGCGGCGUGGAUUAGGCAUGCAAGUCGCGCGAUCGGAAGCCUUCGGGCUUUACGGAGCGGCGAACGGGUGAGUAACACGUGAACAAUCUGUCCCUUCAUUCCGGAUAGCUGACCGAAAGGUCUGGUAAUACGGGCGAGGGUCUUGUCGGGGCAUCUCGACGAGAAGGAAGGUGCAAGCAUUACUGUUUGUGCCGUGCAGGGAGGAGUUCGCGGCCUAUCAGGUAGNGGUGGGGUAAUGGCCUACCAAGCCGACGACGGGUAGCUGGUCUGAGAGGAUGGUCAGCCACAUUGGAACUGAGACACUGUCCAGACUCCUACGGGAGGCUGCAGUCGAGAAUCUUGGUCAAUGCACGAAAGUGUGAACCAGCGACGCCGCGUGAAGGAUGAAGGAGCUCUGCUUCGUAAACUUCUUUUAUGAGUGAAG
rnacentral:rRNA from 1 species